GUUGCCGGCCAUACUGCGUCGAAAAUACCGGAUCCCAUCUGAACUCCGAAGUCAAGCGGCGCUAGGCCGGGAUAGUACUGGGGGUGGGGGACCGCCCGGGAACACCUUUCGGUGCCGGCAACC
rnacentral:rRNA from 1 species